UGCAAGCUGCAGGACUUCUAAGCAGCCGAUCCCAUUGUAAAUAUGCACUAUUCCUUAAGUGUUUAAUGAAGACAUACCACAUUUAAUGGAACUGUAUUGAGUCUCCAUCCCCAAGGAUAAACGAUUCCAUUACAUGGAGAGAUGAGAGAGGAUGGAAUUCUUCUGGGAACAGAGAAGGUCAAAGGGAAAUUUAAUACAGAUACUGCGUGAGGUUCUCCAGUAUUCUCUGUAAUGCAGUGUGAACCAGACUGUUAAUUCACCAGUAAUACUGUUGCCAAAGAUCGUCAUCUCUCUAAGCUCCAUCUUACACAGGUCAACAAAUUGAUGAGCCAAUGCCUGGUGUUGGUUUUGCUUCAGAGUCUGGCCUCUUCCUUAUUUCGUGUUGUUUCAAUCACACAAAUAGGAACAAGCAGAAAAUGGAAUCAUGUAAAACAUAUCUAGAAUGAUGAUGCUCACCCAUAUGGACAGGCAUUCCCUGAUUUAAGGAUUUUUUGGCUUAGCUCCAUGCCUUAAUGUGCAUCAUUGUCUUCCAAAAGCUAGGGACAAAGAAAAUGCAUUUGUAUCAUCCCGGAGGAGUAUGACACUGCUUGUAAAAUUCAACCAAUUUUAAGGAAAAAAAUGAGCAAUAUCAAAGGGGUUGAAAUUACAGCAAUAUCUCUCCUACUGUAUAUUAAAUUUGCUCCCUUAAUAAAACAAAAGGCCUUUCAUAAAUGAAACUAUAAA